rnacentral:rRNA from 1 species
UACGUAGGGUGCAAGCGUUAAUCGGAAUUACUGGGCGUAAAGCGUGCGCAGGCGGUUUUGUAAGUUUGUCGUGAAAGCCCCGGGCUCAACCUGGGAAUUGCGAUGAAGACUGCAAGGCUUGAAUCUGGCAGAGGGGGGUAGAAUUCCACGUGUAGCAGUGAAAUGCGUAGAGAUGUGGAGGAACACCGAUGGCGAAGGCAGCCCCCUGGGUCAAGAUUGACGCUCGUGCACGAAAGCGUGGGGAGCAAACAGG